AAAGGAAAUUUCCUUGAAAAUGGAAGCACUGGUUCCAAGUCAUUGUCAGUCAGUGCUUCCAUUUUCAAGGAAGUUUCCUUU